rnacentral:sRNA from 1 species
AUGUUGGUUUUAGUUUGUUUUCAUUUUUUCGUUUCAUUUUGCUUUUUAACUUGGGAAACAAUCGCCUUGUAUUUGGAACAUAGACUUCGGUAAAUGUUUACCUGCGAAAAUGAUUAAAUCUGAUGCAUUAACAACGUACUAAAGUGCAUUUCCCUCUGUUUUUAUUGUUUAUUGAUUAAUUUUCUAAUUGUUCCAACAAGGAUCAAACAAGUGUGUUGGUGUUAGCUUGUUCGGAUUUUCGUUUCGUUUUCAUUAUUUACGCUUUUAAACCUGGAAACUAUCGUCUACAGGUAUUUCGUGAUUUUUACGUAUCAAUUCAAACAGAUACUUCGGUAAAUCAAACAGUUAACUGUUUACCUGCGCAAAUUAAGCAAAAUCUGAUGUAGGGGUACUGAAAUACAAUUCCUUCUAUCGGUAAUUCGGCAUUUUCUUUUGAUAUCGCUGACGGAAAUAUGUAGGUAUAUACAUGUAUAUAUAUAUGAUUCAUUUCGAAAAAAUAAAUUGUGUUCUUUAUUUGUUAUAGUGCAUGUUUCUUGUGUUUAAUUGUUUACAAUUUCUAUUUACUAACCAUAUUUGAGUGUUAAGCUUCGAAUUAUAAGCAAGAUACAAAGAUUUGCUCACAAUUCUAUGUUUGUACACAGAUCUUAAAAACUAAAGAUUAAAAAAGUAAAAAAAU